AAAACAUACAACAACACCAUUUAUGGUGUUAAAGAAAACCUAAACAAUCGCAUCCAGACCUGUCAAAGGUGCACAGGUAUAUACACCCAAACCUGCACACUGGAAGGAACAAUUAAUACAAAUAUAAAGCUGUGCAAUGCAAUUGUAAAACAAAUUAUCCAAAUAGAAUAUUAUAUAAAAUCAAGGAAAGUGACAUGAAAAUAUAUGAGAUAAUAAAAUGAUAUAAAAUUAAAAUUCCAAAAUCUUUAGAAGACAAUGUUGUUUUAGGGAAUGGAGCAGCCAAGAAAUGUUUAGGGGGGCAAUUCCAAGAGUAUACAGCAGUGAGUGAAAAAGGACAAAACCAAGCCUAGGAAGAGGAAUCUUUAGUUGAGCAAGAAGCCUAGAAUACAGGCCACAAUUCAUUGUACAAGCAGUGAAUGGAUUUUUGGCCUUUGAAGUCUUGGUGUCACUUCACAUUCAGCAUGUCAGACAAUGGACUAUCUCUCUCUAUAUUCCCAAGCUUUUCUCCUCUCAGUCAUCUUUAUUGUCAUUAAGACCAUCCCCAUCCAUCUUGUCUGCCAAUGCAGACAACAUUGCAGUUAACAUUGGCAUCUUUCAGUCAAAUGGCAUGACAUUUUUGGAUGUUGUAAUAUUGCUGAACUUUAGGCACUUACUUUUUAUGAGUAAAUACUUCAUGUUUUAUGAGGAACUAAAACAAGACAAAGACCUCUAAACUCCCUAUUGCUAUAUGCUUCAGAUUGGUGUGUGGAAGCAACUAGUAACAAAAAAUACCGUAAUUCCUUGCUAUUGAUUACUUCCUUCUCCAACAAAUGAAUAUACUGUAAUAUUAUAAUUGUAAUCUAAUGAAGGAUAAACUUUUCUAUGGUGUAAUAAUAUUUUUUUUACUUUUAUAGUUAUGAAAUGGUGCUUUAUUAAAUAAUGGAUGAGCAUGCUUAGUCUCUGCUGUGGAUAAUGAUAUGAUGAUGAAAGACAGAAUAAGUGAUGGAUCCCUAUCUGAUGCUUGAGAGAAUGAAGAGACAUUAAAUCCUUGGAAGGUUUGAUCAUUACCAGCAUUUCUCAGUCUAUAGAUUGCUUGGAAGAAGUGGAUGUUCAGUGCAAAUAUAAAGGGUGUCAGAUUGAUCCAAUCUCUUAUCCAAACCAGACCGCAGGUGUGAUGUCUCAUGGGCCAUGUAGUCCCCUUCCUAGUAUUAUUGUGGCAGACGAAGAGGAAAACUUGGGUUUCCCACCGUUUCAGCCAGAAUUGGAGCCCCUGCACCUGCAAGAUGUUUGCCCACAAGAAGUCAGCCAAACAAGCCUUGAGCAGAAAUCUCCCCCGUUCUCUCGCCGGGAUAAUUAUAAUCGAGAUAGAGGCGCUAGGGAGGCGAAUCGCCGAAGCGCCAGAAUCGCUGCCAGACAAUUAGCUGAUUAAGCCUGUUUCCCUUGGGAAAUCUUAAGGAGUCAUGCAUCUGGACACAGUAUGGGUUUCGCUUCUUGUUCCCCAGGGAAAGUGUUCCUUGGCGGGAAAACAAGAUCCUAUAUAGGUGUUUACCCGCAAGGAAAUCCUUGCGGAGUCAAUUCGUCAGCUUCAGGAGUGAGAUCGUGUGUGGACUACGCUACUCCAGUUCCUUGUUUCCAGGACCUUGCCACGGACCUUGUUCUAGUUCCAAGCCUGCCUUGUCCCCGGACCUCGCCACGGACCUCGUUCUUGCUUCUUGCCUCUUGUUGCCACGUAUCAAGUCUUGUUUGCCAAGAAUCUAGUUUGUUUCCAGCCUUGUUGUCAAGCUCCAUUGGACUAAAGGACCCUGUCAUUUCCCCACACUUGCUCGGCAAGUGUGUGUUUCGGUGAUUGGAUUAUAACUUUGGACUCUAAUAUCACAUAUUGGACAUUGUUUUCCUGGACUAUAUUUGACCUUUCCUGAAAGGUCUACUUCUGAACUAUAUUCUUCACUUGUUUUAUUUGACUUUAUAUAUUCCUUUAAUAAAGAUAUUAGAUAGAAUCUGGCCUCUGCGCAUGGUUAUUGGUGCUCUGUAGCCUGGGUCCUGACAGCAGGCCUCAAAAUAGAGAGCUAGGUUCGGUAGGCCUAGUUCUCCUUUAUUUCUA